rnacentral:rRNA from 1 species
UACGGGGGGGGGCAAGCGUUGUUCGGAAUUACUGGGCGUAAAGGGCCAGUAGGCGGCCAACUAAGUCGGAUGUGAAAUCCCCAGGCUCAACUUGGGAACUGCAUCCGAUACUGGAUGGCUUGAAUUCGGGAGAGGGAUGCAGAAUUCCAGGUGUAGCGGUGAAAUGCGUAGAUAUCUGGAGGAAUACCGGUGGCGAAGGCGGCAUCCUGGACCGACAUUGACGCUGAACGGCGAAAGCUAGGGGAGCAACGGG